AACAUACCUCAGCGCAUGAGUCUGCACCUUUUGCCUUUGACUUAUUCAAGCCAUUUGGUGAAAAUUGAAGUCAUUGCGCUUUCAGUAUGAAUUUUUGAUUUGACCCGUGUUUCAUAUAAUGGUUUUUCUUAGCUUCAUUACAGUUUUUCUCCUGCCACCAACAAUGUCGGUUAAUAAAAAGAGGUGUCAUCAAUACAGUGCCACAUACUUGAAGUUGGGAUUUGUUCAAUCACUGUAGGAAAAAUUAUUCAAGAGAUGCUUUUUGCAAGAAGCUUGAUUGUAGAUAUCAAAGGUAAAUCUAUCUUUAAUACUUUCAAAGAUUAUUUUAAAGAGAAAAACAUUCCUCUUGCGAAUAUUAUGUCUAUUACCACUGAUAGGCUCCUGCAAUGGUGGGUCGACACUGCCCUUUUGGAAAGGAAGGUACCAGAUGUCUUAGCUGUUCACUGCGUGAUUCACAGAAAGCAUUUAGUAGGGGAAAAUCUCAGCAACCGUUUGCAUCAAUCAUUGCAAUAUGCCAUAUCUGCUGUGAACAAAAUUCAUUGUAAUGCUCUCUACGAUUGAUUAUUCAGACAGCU